rnacentral:rRNA from 1 species
UGAGUACGAGAUGCUACGGCAUCGAAGCAGUCUAUGUCAUACUUCCAAGAAAAGCUUGCAAUGUCAUAAACAAAUAAUGCCUGUACCAUAACCGACACAGGUGGGUAGGUAGAGUAUACUAAGGGGCGCGAGAUAACUCUCUCUAAGGAACUCGGCAAAAUGACUCCGUAACUUCGGGAGAAGGAGUGCCUUAUUUUUAUAAGGUUGCAAUAACAAGAUCCAAGCAACUGUUUACCAAAAACACAGGUCUCCGCUAAGUCGUAAGACGAUGUAUGGGGGCUGACGCCUGCCCAGUGCCAGAAGGUUAAAGAAGUUGGUUAGCAUUAGCGAAGCUGAUAACUGAAGCCCUGGUGAACGGCGGCCGUAACAAUAACGGUCCUAAGGUAGCGAAAUUCCUUGUCGGGUAAGUUCCGACCCGCACGAAAGGCGUAAUGAUUUGGAUACUGUCUCGGAGAGGGGCUCGGUGAAAUAGACUUGUCUGUGAAGAUGCGGACUACCUGCACCUGGACAGAAAGACCCUAUGAAGCUUUACUGUAACUUGAGAUUGAAAUUGGACUUUAUCUGCGCAGUAUAGGUGGGAGACGUUGAAAAUAUUCUUGCGGGAAUAUUGGAGUCAUCAGUGAGAUACCACUCUUAUAAUGUUAGAUUUCUAACUUUGUAUCAUUAUCUGGUCAAAGAACAGUUUCAGGCGGGCAGUUUGACUGGGGCGGUCGCCUCCCAAACGGUAACGGAGGCGCACAAAGGUUUCCUCUGAACGUGUAGAAAUCGUAUCUAGAGUGUAAAGGCAUAAGGAAGCUUGACUGUGAGACCUACAAGUCGAGCAGGGACGAAAGUCGGUCUUAGUGAUCUGACGGUGCUGAGUGGAAAGGCCGUCACUCAACGGAUAAAAGUUACUCUAAGGAUAACAGGCUGAUCUCCCCCAAGAGUUCACGUCGACGGGGAGGUUUGGCACCUCGAUGUCGGCUCAUCGCAUCCUGGGGCGGUAGUACGUCCCAAGGGUUGGGCUGUUCGCCCAUGAAAGCGGUACGCGAGCUGGGUUCAGAACGUCGUGAGACAGUUCGGUCCAUAUCCGGUGUAGGCGUUAGAAUAUUGAGAGGAGCCUUCUUUAGUACGAGAGGACCGAGAAGGACAUACCUCUGGUGUACCAGUUAUCGUGCCAACGGUAAACGCUGGGUAGCCAUGUAUGGAGAGGAUAACCGCUGAAAGCAUCUAAGUGGGAAGCCCACCUCAAGAUAAGUAUUCU